rnacentral:lncRNA from 1 species
AAGUUGAGCCUCGCGAAGUCUCCACGAAGCUUGUAUGCCGCCUUGUCGUAAGCCAGAGCAGCCUCCUCCGCCGUGUCAAAAGUGCCGAGCCAUAGACGGGUACGGUUCUUGGGGAGUCUGAUCUCGGCCACCCAUUUGCCCCAGUGCCUCUGCCUCACUCCUCUGUAAAGCUUCGUGGGCUUUGACGGAGGAGAAGGAGCAACAUGCUUCAUGGGAACAGGUUUUGGGGAGAGAAAGCUCAGGCUCUGGCUCCGGUUAUGUUCCGUUGAUGAUUUAGAUGCUGCCAUGGUGGCUAGCUGCUGCUGUUGUUGUUGUUGAAGGAGAAAUUGAGUUUGGAUUUGCAGAAUUUGAGAUGGAGUAAGGUGAUUGAGCCCAACCGAUCCUGUUUGCU